AGCAGUCGCCACGGUAAUACGUAGGUGGCAAGCGUUGUCCGGAAUUAUUGGGCGUAAAGGGCUCGCAGGCGGUUUCUUAAGUCUGAUGUGAAAGCCCCCGGCUCAACCGGGGAGGGUCAUUGGAAACUGGGAAACUUGAGUGCAGAAGAGGAGAGUGGAAUUCCACGUGUAGCGGUGAAAUGCGUAGAAAUGUGGAGGAACACCAGUGGCGAAGGCGACUCUCUGGUCUGUAACUGACGCUGAGGAGCGGAAGCGUGGGGAGCGAACAGGAUUAGAGACCCCCGUAGUCCCUGUCUCUUAUAC
rnacentral:rRNA from 1 species